rnacentral:tRNA from 1 species
AUUUAUAUAGUUUAAUUUUUAAAACGUUAAUUUGUGGAAUUAAAGAUGUAAAUUUUGUUUACUUUAGAUA